rnacentral:rRNA from 1 species
AUUGAACGCUGGCGGAAUGCUUUACGCAUGCAAGUUGAACGGCAGCACGGACUUCGGUCUGGUGGCGAGUGGCGAACGGGUGAGUAAUGUAUCGGAACGUGCCGAGUCGUGGGGGAUAACGUAGUGAAAGUUACGCUAAUACCGCAUACGAUCUAUGGAUGAAAGCGGGGGAUCGCAAGACCUCGCGCGAUUGGAGCGGCCGAUAUCAGAUUAGGUAGUUGGUGGGGUAAAGGCCCACCAAGCCAACGAUCUGUAGCUGGUCUGAGAGGACGACCAGCCACACUGGAACUGAGACACGGUCCAGACUCCUACGGGAGGCAGCAGUGGGGAAUUUUGGACAAUGGGCGAAAGCCUGAUCCAGCCAUUCCGCGUGCAGGAUGAAGGCCCUCGGGUUGUAAACUGCUUUUGUACAGAACGAAAAGGUUUCUACUAAUACUAGGAGCUCAUGACGGUACUGUAAGAAUAAGCACCGGCUAACUACGUGCCAGCAGCCGCCGUAA